rnacentral:rRNA from 1 species
UACGUAGGGGGCAAGCGUUAUCCGGAUUUACUGGGUGUAAAGGGAGCGUAGACGGUAAUGCAAGUCUGAUGUGAAAACCCAAGGCUCAACUUUGGGAUUGCAUUGGAAACUGUAUCACUUGAGUGCUGGAGGGGCAGGCGGAAUUCCUGGUGUAGCGGUGAAAUGCGUAGAUAUCAGGAGGAACACCGGUGGCGAAGGCGGCCUGCUGGACAGUAACUGACGUUGAGGCUCGAAAGCGUGGGGAG